UUUUUUGAUCCGCAAAAUUUUAUUAAGCAAUAGCUGGACAAAUCUUACAAUUUCAAAUCAUCAAGAAAAAAAUGAGAUUAACCCAUUUCAAUUUUAAAGGCAAAAUAUUUUGGACAAACUACAUCAUUUUGAAUGCAAACCAUUGAUCCCUUCUAGAAUACGUCCUGCACAAUCUAGUAUACAAAAUACAUACAAAGAUAGGCAAAUAAGAGAGAGCUCAUUGAGAUGCAAUGGGGACUCUCAACAGAUCUUUCCGGAAGGUUAAAGCAAAAUGCUGAAUUUAUAAACAAAAUAAAAAAAAUUAAAAAACCAACACUGGAGGGACUGAUGUGUACGAAACAGUGCACGCUGUUCCCAAAGUGUGGACAAUUACAUGCUGGUGGUCUUGUUUGGUCUGUGACCUAUGCACCCCACAUUGCACAUUUAUGGGGAUGACGGAGAAGGAGAAAGACAGAUGCCAGCUGAAGCAAUAGUAGUAAACUCAGAAGUUAUGCCCAAAUUUACAGUACUAAAAUAAUGCAUUUAUAAACAAAUGCAAACAAUACACCUUUGGUAAAUAAUACAGUGCCUUUUCACUCAAAUGUAUAACCCAUGCUUUUCUACAACACGAGAAAAAAAUUAUCUACAAUAACCAAGAUCUUAAAAUCCUACCCUUCCCCUUAAAAUUAACUUGUAAACAGAAAAUAUAGAUACAGUUAAAGUACAAGAGAACUGCACAAAGCUGAAGAAAAUGGAAACAAAGUAAGUCACAAUCCUCAAGAGUUUAUCAGCCAGAGAUAAGGAGAUACACAGUGGUGUAGACUUCUGAACUGUACGCUAUCAUAAACUCCCAGGAACUCAAAUGACAGUUCAAACCAGCUAGUGCUGUCAACCUGUCCACAGCCCACAGGACAGCACAGGCUCCCUUUGGUGUAGCAUUGUCACACAUGAGCACACCAAAAGAGGCGAGCCUUUGCCAGCACUCUUCUUUCUGAACCCACCCCCAGUUUUACAUCCAGGUAGUGCUUUAUUUUUCUUGAGAAUGCUCACCGAGUACAACACACUCAGAGGGGACUUCCACUGUACUUGCAUUUGAUGCUUCUAUAAUUUUUAGUAUAAUAAACAUUAUUCUAAACAAACUUAGGGGUAAACCUGCUGGUUUCUGUUCAGGAGACAGUAGAUAGCUUACAGGCUCAUGAAAAUGUUUUCUACAUAGGUAGCAGGUUUUGAAACAUACUUUCACCCUGGCAAGGGGAAGAUGAGCUGCUAAAUUUUGACCUCUCAGACUACAGGAGUUAGAAUGUAGUGUUUGAGCUUGUGAGGCAUGCCUUUUCAUUUAAGAGAUGGACAUGAGGAGGCCAGACACCCCAGGGGCUUGCCCAAAGCCACUCUAUCCCUGUGACAGAACAAUUCGACCUUGAUUUUGAGCCCCUGGCCUUUGAUUACAGAAUGAACAUUACAUGAAAAGCACCAACAUGCAAAAGCUUUUCUUUGUAUGCCCAUGAGAGCUGAGUAUUUCUAGAUGUGGUGGUCCCUGUUUUUCUCAAGCUAUACAUUCAAAUGGGCAGUGUAUAUUCACCCACAACUUUUGUUUUGAUGACACUAGAGCCAAAUAAAUCUAACACUAGCUUUCAUGUUGGUUAAUAUACUCUUCCUAUAGGCCUCUAUGUAGUUGACUGUUUCCAAUUUAUGGAUCCAAUGAGACAUUGUGACAUUCACAAAUUGCUAAUAACCAUGAAAUACCUAGAAUUCAGUUACUUAAUUUGAGGAGAAUUUAAUCAAGUGAUGUUGACUGGAAGAAGCCAUUACCUUAAAUGAUACUAUGUCACAGCUGCUGCAGGCAGCAGCCUACUGUCCACCUGGGACCUGAGACUCACUCUUCUGUCUGGGAGAGGAGUUUAGUGAGGGGCAGGUACUCCUGCAGCUCACAGGUCAAGCACUGCUCAAGACCAGACAGAAGCCCGCAUCUCCCUGGACAGAAAGUAUCUUUUAGGGAUUUCUUCCAUAUUUGUUCAUAUUUAGCAAAGUUGUAAGUAUAAAUUUUGCAUUUUUGAAAAGGCCAAUUUUAACUAAAAAACCAAACCAAACCUCAAACCUAAAGAUUAUUUACUAAGGACCUCUUUGGAGACUCUUAUCUCAGACCUCUCAUCCUUCCUUGUGUCCUAUCACAUUUCAUUUAAAACUAACAUUUUCAAAUAAGAAGUACUAUCUUAUGGUAUGCUAUCUCAAAGACAGAGCUUAUUUUGCAUACAAUCAAUACUGAGAUAAAGAGUAAGUUUAUUUUU
rnacentral:lncRNA from 1 species